rnacentral:rRNA from 1 species
CUUAGUGGCAGACGGGUGAGUAACAUGUAGGUAUCUGCCCUUUGGCCUGGAAUAACACGAGGAAACUUGUGCUAAUACCGGAUAAGUCUUUACGGAGAAAGCUUUAUGCACCAUUGGAUGAGCCUGCACUUGAUUAGUUUGUUGGUGGGGUAAUGGCCUACCAAGACUGUGAUCAAUAGCUGAUUUGAGAGGAUGAUCAGCCACAUUGGGACUGAGACACGGCCCAAACUCCUACGGGAGGCAGCAGUGGGGAAUCUUGCACAAUGGAGGAAACUCUGAUGCAGCGAUGCCGCGUGAGUGAAGAAGGCCCUUGGGUUGUAAAGCUCUUUCGUCGGGGAAGAAAAUGACUGUACCCGAAUAAGAAGGUCCGGCUAACUUCGUGCCAGCAGCCGCGGUAAUACGAAGGGACCUAGCGUAGUUCGGAAUUACUGGGCUUAAAGAGUUCGUAGGUGGUUGAAAAAGUUGGUGGUGAAAUCCCAGAGCUUAACUCUGGAACUGCCAUCAAAACUUUUCAGCUAGAGUAUGAUAGAGGAAAGCAGAAUUUCUAGUGUAGAGGUGAAAUUCGUAGAUAUUAGAAAGAAUACCAAUUGCGAAGGCAGC